CUGAGUGUUUAUUUUUUUGAGAAAUCAAAAAAAUACCUCCCACCCUUUGUUUAUAUGACCUGUUGCUUCGGCAAGACUUGAUGAUUGUAAAAAUUAUCAAAUUGACUUGUUUUAAUUCAAGUGAAUUAGUUUUGCUUGCCGAAGUUUUUUUAUAACUCUUUUAUUUUGAAAAUAUUUUGUUCAAACAUAAAAAAAAUUA
rnacentral:misc_RNA from 1 species